rnacentral:tRNA from 1 species
GGGUAUGUAGCUCAGUGGUAGAGCACUUGCCUAGCAUGCAUGAGACCCUGGGAUCCAUCCUCAGCAACACA